GAUGAACGCUAGCUACAGGCUUAACACAUGCAAGUCGAGGGGUCUCGCGGGAGCUUGCUUCCAAGAGACGACCGGCGCACGGGUGAGUAACGCGUAUCCAACCUGCCCUUCAUAUUGGGAUAGCCUUCCGAAAGGGAGAUUAAUACAAGAUGGUAUUCAAAUUCCGCAUGUUAUUUGAAUUAAAGAUUUAUCGGUAACGGAUGGGGAUGCGUGACAUUAGAUAGUAGGCGGGGUAACGGCCCACCUAGUCUACGAUGUCUAGGGGUUCUGAGAGGAAGGUCCCCCACACUGGAACUGAGACACGGUCCAGACUCCUACGGGAGGCAGCAGUGAGGAAUAUUGGUCAAUGGUCGGAAGACUGAACCAGCCAAGUAGCGUGAAGGAUGAAGGUUCUAUGGAUUGUAAACUCUUUUAUACGGGAAUAAAACCU
rnacentral:rRNA from 1 species